GAUUGUGGUUUCACUCAUUGUGAGCAUAAUACAGUCAAAAUCAAGUCCUGUUGCUACUAAUGGAAGAGUGGUGACCAUUUGCUUAAGUCGGCAAUGGAAAUAAAUGGAACUGGCAAGCGUUGUUUAGAGGAGAGGUGAGCAAGAAUCUUCCCAGUCCAACCAAGUUUACCUAUUUCAGCAGAGAAGAGAAAAUACAGUUAAAAGGUGUUUACAAGCCAAGUCAACCCUGUGAUUUGCUACUUGUGUUCAUUUUUUGCUUGAGAGGCACACACCUAUAGCAGACUUUAAGUCGGCAUUCCACAGCCAUGAAGAAAUUUCUUGUUUGUAAACCAAAGAGGAAGAAUUAUAAGCCAGACACUUACAUCACCUGACAGAUGUGUUUCUCAAUCACGACAGAACCUAAAUUGGAGGACUGUCUCGUCUAAGCACAGAUCAAAAGGCCUACGAGCAGCCACACCAACGUAAA